rnacentral:snRNA from 1 species
AUCGUUUCUUGGCCUUUUGGAUAAGAUCAGGUGUAGUAUCUAUUUUUAUCAGUUUAAUAUCUGAUAUGUCCUCUAUCUGAGGACUCUAUAUUAAAUGCAUUUUAAAAAAAUUAAAACGACAAAAAGAUAAGUGUCAUGGUGUCUUUUUAUAAAUAAUUUGGAUUAUAUACAAUUCUGCUAACCACAC